rnacentral:rRNA from 1 species
GGUGAGUAACACGUAAGCAACCUGCCUAUUAGAGGGGAAUAACAGCGAGAAAUCGUUGCUAAUACCGCAUAUGCUGUGAGUAUCGCAUGAUACAAGCAGGAAAGGAGCAAUCCGCUAAUAGAUGGGCUUGCGUCUGAUUAGUUAGUUGGUGGGGUAACGGCCUACCAAGACGAUGAUCAGUAGCCGGACUGAGAGGUUGAACGGCCACAUUGGGACUGAGAUACGGCCCAGACUCCUACGGGAGGCAGCAGUCGGGAAUAUUGCGCAAUGGAGGAAACUCUGACGCAGUGACGCCGCGUGCAGGAAGAAGGUUUUCGGAUUGUAAACUGCUUUUAACAGGAAAGAAAAAAAUGACGGUACCUGUUGAAUAAGCUCCGGCUAACUACGUGCCAGCAGCCGCGGUAAUACGUAGGGAGCGAGCGUUAUCCGGAUUUAUUGGGUGUAAAGGGUGCGUAGACGGAAAUGCAAGUUAGUUGUGAAAUACCUCGGCUUAACUGAGGAACUGCAACUAAAACUAUAUUCCUUGAGUAUCGGAGGGGUUUGUGGAAUUCCUAGUGUAGCGGUGAAAUGCGUAGAUAUUAGGAAGAACACCGGUGGCGAAGGCGACAAACUGGACGAUAACUGACGUUGAGGCACGAAAGUGUGGGGAGCAAACAGGAUUAGAUACCCUGGUAGUCCACACCGUAAACGAUGGAUACUAGGUGUUGGCAAUGAAUAAUUGUCGGUGCCGGCGCUAACGCA